AAAUUUCGUAGAAGCAAUAUAUGAUGGCGGCGAGCUCGUUUGUUUGAGGUUAAGCUGUUACAAUUGUCACAUAAAUUCAGGUCAGUCCGAACCACCUUGUUGUUGGAAUCGUAAAUAUUCAAUGUUUGUGUCGCCCCGUUUGCAAGGAGUCGCAAUAUAUCUGUGACGGUGACUCCUCGACUGCGGUUAUUUGUUUUAAUUGUUGUGGUUUCUCUCUUAUUUUUCCUCUCUCCAAUGUCUUCGUAGCACCGCACACACACACACACACACACAGAUAGACACACACUCACGCAUACUCACACACAUACAUACAGACACACACACACACACUGAAUAGAGAAUGAAAUGAAGUCUUGUGGAUAGAGAAAGCUUUGGAAGUGGAACGAGAGAGAAAGAGAUGGUGAUUGUGGCACCAACGCAAGGACAACAGGGUUUGUCUUUAUACAUUUUCAAAUUCCCUGCCAUUCCGGCCGCCAAGUCUUUCCGUUACACUCCUCGAUGCUUUCACAUCUUUAAAUCUCCAUGAUCUGGGCCAUCUUCCAUUAAUCUAUUUCUCUCUUAAAUAUUUAUUUUCACACCAUUUCGCUUUCCUUUUUCCUUCUCUUUUUACAUUUAUUUACCUUUCAAAUCUUCCAAUCAACCUCAUGCUCUCUCAUUUUAACCCAACAACACAUUCGUUUCUCUCUUAUUUUUUGCGUUUUACUUACGUCUUUCACUUUAUUUAUAAAUUUGAAUCCAAUAUUUACUGGUCAGGAUUAGAUUUAGACAUUACACACACAGAUCUUAUUUAUAUAUAUAGAUGUAUAUACUUUAUAUACAUACAAUACAGAUGUAUAUACUUUAUAUACAUACAAUACAGAUGUAUAUACUUUAUAUACAUACAAUAUAGAUGUAUAUACUUUAUAUAUGUAUAUAUAGAUUGCAUAAAUAUAGUUUGUAUUUAUAGAUUAUUUAUAUAUAAAGGCAUCAGUCACUUAAAUCUGUGUUGUGUACAAAAUAUAUCGAUUUUAGAUGAAUUGUUUUGAAAUGGUAAUAACAAUUUCUGUGAGCUUCAUGCUUUCGCAGCAUUUUGUGGCAAUUAACUGAUUUCACGAAUACAAACUUUUUGUUUAUUUACGUUGAUUUUUUAAAAAAUCAUAAUAUUUUUGCGAAAUUCAAAUUUUUACCCUAAUUCUAAAAAUGUUUUUAAUUUCCAAGGUUUCUUCCUUGUGUUAGGGUUUUUCUUUUACGAGAAAUAACUUUUGCCAAACUGUUGUGAUCGAUCGAAGUUCAGCCUGUGGCUGUUUCCCCAUUAUUUCUGUUCGAAAUCAAAGCAAACAGUCUCUGUGGCCGUUUCCUUUUCGUAAAUACAAGUCGUGUGUGCUUGGCUUGGAUGAGGCUGGUCAACAGCUUCAGGCGAGCAUCCAUCCAUCCACCAGUGUGUGUGAUGCCAGAGAAAAGCCCUCUCUCUCUCCCACAAACGGCCUCACUGGUGGUGGUGGCUCGUUUGCUGUUUAUUAUUCUUGCCAGCUCCAAGUAGUAGUAGCAGCAGCAGCAGCACGGCCGAAACACAACAAACCAAUCUUACGACUACUACCUGAUUUGGGGGAAAGAGAUGGUGGUGUGUGAGCGCCGCCGCCGCCGCCUCCUCCGCUACAGUCGUCGCCGUCGUCUCUGGCACUAUUUACUGAAAGAGGAACAGAUUGGCCAACCAAUACGACAUUCUCCACAUACGUGUGCGCCUGACACAGACAAGGGUACAUUUUCAACGUGCAACGUUGCUUUUUCUUCCGCUUUUAAAGGCUGAAUGCCAAUGCAAGGGCAUUUAGGAAUGUGUUCUUUGAGCGGCAAAGGGUUAACGAGGAAAUGUAUAGGAAUUAGUGAUUUUCAUGCCUUCAUCAAAAGGUUUUGCGGGACUCGGUGCAGCGUUAUAUUUAUAUAAACUGAUGCUGUUAUCUAUCUAUCCUUACAUCCACGUAGAAUAUCUUUCAAACCUAUCGCUGCCAGCACUCUCACCUGUUGUAGUUGUGUAACAACUAAACGAUUGCGAAAAUAUAAUCUUGAAAACCGUUUUUUUGCCUUGUCAAAUGCUUUUAUGAGGACCAUUUUUCUGGAAUGUGAAAUGUUUCAUUUGAAGUGAGAGUGAACCUUUCCUAUGACUGAGGAAGUGUUUUUCUCUUUUUCAAUUAAUGAUUGCCCUGGCUUCCACUUUCCCUUACGUAGACAAUUUCUUUUUUUAAUGUCAAGUGUUUAAUUGUUAAUUUUUAUAUUUGUUAACAAUGGCAGGUCGGAAGUCUUAAUUAGAUUCGUAUUAUUUCUCCAUUGAAGCCAUUUCAUUAGAUUUUCGCUCGCAUUUCGAGUGGAGGGUAAAUCUCGAUUUUGAAGUGACGCUUUUUUGGCGCCGUCUUCGCUCGCGCUUCCAUUACGGCGACUGCAGCCACGAUUGUUGCUUCCAACUUUCCCAUAAUACUAGAAAAGCAAUUGUAGUAAAUAUAAACGAAUAUGCAGAUAAGAUCACAGCCUUAAUAACAAGUAUCCUGUCAUUAAGAAUCUAAUGGCUUGGCUAACUUCCCACUUUCAAUAUCCUGCAACGGCGCAGGAUAUUGUUUACUCAUUCAAUCUCGUGUAGUUUCCAAAGUUUCCAAGACAUUUGAAGUACAAAAGGCACUAAUGUCAGUGAGGAAAAAUUACGUGUAUAUAUAUAUAUAUAUAUAUAUAAGUAUGAAUGUGUGGCGGAGGUAAAGAAUAAGUACACCACUCGUUUUCGUCGAAAAAGGGUGGGGCGCGUAUGCAUGUGUGUGUAUAUAUACGUACAUAUAUGUAUGUAAAUAUGUAUAUGCACAUAUAUAUAUCUAUGUAUAUAUAUAUAUAUAUACAUAGAUAUAUGCAUAUGUAUGCACACAUGCAUAUGUAUAUGUAUAUACAUACUACACUCACGGAGUGGUUGGACUACACUCACGGAGUGGUUGGCGUUAGGAAGGGCAUCCAGCCGUAGAAACACUGCCAGAUUUGACUGGGCCUGAUGAAGCCUUCUGGCUUCACAGACCCCAGUAGAACCGUCCAACCCAUGCUAGCAUGGAAAACGGACGCUAAACGAUGAUGAUGAUGAUGAUACAUAUAUAAUAUAUAUAUAUAUAUACAUACAUAGAUAUAUGUAUAUAUAUAUAUAUAUAUGUGCAUAUGUAUAUACAUAUAUAUAUAUGCAUUAUGCAUGGCAUGUAAAAAGCACCCACUACACUCUCGGAGUGGUUGGCGUUAGGAAGGGCAACCAGCUGUAGAAACACUGCCAGAUUAGAUUGGAGCCUGGUGCAGCCUCCUGGCUUCCCAGACCCCAGUCAAACCGUCCAACCCGUGCUAGCACGAACACGGACGUUAAAUGAUGAUAUAUAUAUAUAUAUAUAUAUAUAUAUAUAAAUGUACAUAUAUACAGUUUAAUGCUGAAAAGUUUGAAGCCUUGUGCUAUCAGCAUGCAAUACCAAUUAAAUACACUGGACCUGGAGGGGUUGCAAUUCCAGAGGCACAAUAAGUGCGAGACCUGGGCAUUUACAUGAGUAAUGAUGCUUCUUUCCAUGUGCAUGUUGCUAAAUUGGCAAUGAAAUGCAGGCGGCCCAUAGGGUGGAUUCUUAGAAGUUUUAGAGCAAGAGAUCUGGAAACCAUGAUGGUCCUGGAGGACACUUGUCCUCAGCCAGUUUGACUAUUUCUCUCAGUUAUGGUCACCAACCAGUGUCAAAUUAAUCUCAGAACUUGGUCACCAACCAGUGUCAAAUUAAUCUCAGAACUUGAGGCAAUCCAACAAAGCUACACGAAGAUAGCCUCUAUGCAGCAUAUAAGUUACUAGGGAAGACUCAAGAGAUUAAGUCUCUAUUCCUCAGAGAGUAGGCGAGAACGAUAUGUCAUAAUAUAUAUGAUGGGAGAUCUUGGAGGGACUUGUCCCAAAUUUUGGCAUCGAGAGUUAUGCAAAUACUAGAACUGGGCAACACUGCUUAAUGCCAAUGACUCCAAAAUUGCCAUCAAGAUAUAGAACAAGAUACUGCAAGAGCCUGGGUUUCAGAGGACCACAGCUCUUCAAUAUCCUCCCAAAGGACCUGAGAGACCUGCAUGGGGUGGAUGUUGGUGUCUUUAAAAGAAAACUGGGCCUCUUCCUGUCAAGUCUCCCAGAUGAGCCAACUUCACAGCAGGAGGUGCAGAUGAGGGCAGUGGCAUCAAAUGCCCUCAUGCACCAAAUGUCAAUUCUUAAAAAGCAUUUGUGAAGUAAAAUUAUGUACCAACACCAAAUGGUGGUGCCCCAGCAUGGCCACAGUUCGUGAGCUGAAACUAGGUCAAAUCACAUCGAUCAUAUAUACAUAUGAGGUGCAAUGGCCCAGUGGUUAGGAUAGCAGACUUGCAGCCAUAGGAUCGUGGUUUCGAUUCCCAGACCGGGCGAUGUGAGUGUUUAUUGAGCAAAAACACUUAAAGCUCGACGAGGCUCUGGCAGGGGGUGGUGGCGAUCCCUGCUGUACUCUUUCGCCGCAACUUUCACUCUUUCUGUUGGCCUGCUCGCUUAGCCAGUGGGGUGGCGUCCUUUCAAGGCUAAAACAAUGCGAAGCACAUUGUGACCAGCGAUGUGUAGCAACAUCUGAUAGCCUGAUCGGUCACUUGAUCACGUGAUAUAUACAUAUAUAUAUAUACACACACAUACAUAUUUAUAAAUAUAUAUUCAUAUAUAUAUAUAUAUAUAUAUGUAUGUACACAUAUAUAUAUAUAUGUAUGUACACAUAUAUAUAUAUAUACACAAACACACACACACACAAAAAUAUAUAUAUAAAAAAAUAUAUAUAUAUAUAUAUAUAUAUAUAUAUAUAUAUACACAAACACACACAUAUAUAUAUAUGUACACACAUAUAUAUAUAUAUAUAUGUACGUAUAUAUAUACAUACAGACACACACAUAUAUAUAUAUAUCCACACACACACAUACAUAUCUAUAUAUAUGUGUACACAUAUAUAUAUAUAUAUAUAUAUAUAUAUAUGCACAUGAAUAUACUCUUAUAUAUUUCUGUUAUUUGACUGCGGCCAUGCUGGAGCACUGCGUUCAGUGGAACAAAUUGAACCCAGGAUUUAUUCUUUGUAAGCCUAGUACUUAUUCUAUCGGUGUCUUUUGCCGAACCACUAGGUUAUGGAGAUGUAGACACCAGUAUCUGUUGUCAAGCGAUGGUUGGGGCAGAAACACACACACACACACAUGUAUACCACGGGCUUCUUUCAGUUUCCGUCUACCAACUCUACUCACCAGGUUUUGGUCUACACGAGGCUGUAGAAGAAACAUGCCCAAGGGACCACACAGUGGGGCUGAACCCGUAACCAUGUAGUUGGGAAGCAAGCUUCUUACCACCACGCAGCAACUCUUGUCCCAAUUCCAAAUAUAUAUCUUUAUAUAUGUUUAGGUAUAUAUAUGCAUAUGUCUAUAAAUACAUAUAUAUGUACAUACAGCUAUUUACGAACAGCUAUGCUACAUGGCAGUGAAACAUGGGCUGUGACUGCUGAGGAUAUGCGUAAGCUUGCAAGAAAUGAAGCCAGUAUGCUCCGAUGGAUGUGUAAUGCCAGUGUUCAUACUCGACAGAGUGUAAGUACCUUGAGAGAAAAGCUGGACCUAAGAAGCAUCAGUUGUGGUGUGCAAGAGAGACGUUUGCACUGGUAUGGUCAUGUGGCAAGAAUGGAUGACGAUAGUUGUGUGAAAAAGUGCCACACCCUAGCGGUUGAGGGAACCUGUGGAAGAGGUAGACCCAGGAAAACCUGGGACAAGGUGGUGAAGCACGACCUUCAAACUUUAGGUUUCACCGAGGAAAAGACUAGAGACCGGGACCUAUGGAAGUAUGCUGUGUGUGAGAAGACCCGGCAGGACAAGUGAGGCCAUAAUCCCGUGGCCUACACCUGGGAUGUAGCCAGCCCACUUAUGCAUUCCUUUCCUUCUUGGGACACAAAACUCCACUUGUGAAGACCUGUUGAGGCACGUGAAAAUCAAAAUCGUAAUCUAUCAACAUCAAUGGAAUUUGUAGCUGUGAUACCAGUGCCGGUGGCACGUAAGAGAACCAUCUGAACGUGGCCGUAAAGAGAACCAUCCGAAAGUGGCCGUAGCCAGCGCCGCCCGACUGGACCCGCGCCGGUGGCACGUAAAAAGCACCAUCCGGCCGUGGCCGUUGCCAGCUUCUGGUCCCCGUGCCGGUGGCACGUAAAAAGCACCAUCCGAUCGUGGCCGUUUGCCAGCCUCGUCUGGCACCUGUGCCGGUGGCACGUAAAAAGCACCCACUAUACUCACGGAGUGGUUGGCGUUAGGAAGGGCAUCCAGCCGUAGAAACACUGCCAGAUCAGACUGGGCCUGGUGCAGCCUUCUGGCUUCCCAGACCCCAGUUGAACCGUCCAACCCAUGCUAGCAUGGAAAGCGGACGUUAAAUGAUGAUGAUACAUGUAUAAAUACACAUGUAUAAAUACACAUGUAUCUAUGUAUGCACAUAUGUUAUCCAUGUUUAUAUGUACUUAGGUAUUUAUGUAUAUAUGUGCAUGUAUCUAUAUAUGUUUGUAUGUGCAUGCAUAUACAUACACACGUGUCCAUACGUAUACAUGCGUAUAUGUGUCUAUACGUAUACAUGUACAUAUAUGCGUAUAUUCAUGUGCAUAUAUGCACGUAGGUAUGUGUGUGUGUAUAUAUAGAUGCAGGAGUGGCUGUGUGGUAAGUAGCUUGCCUACCAACCACAUGGUUCCGGAUUCAGUCCCACUGCGUGGCACCUUGGGCAAGUGUCUUCUACUAUAGCCUCGGGCCAACCAAAGCCUUGUGAGUGGAUUUGGUAGGCGGAAACUGAAUGAAGCCCGUCGUAUAUAUAUAUAUAUAUAUAUAUAUACAAAAAGGGUGAAAUAUAAUUAAUUUAAUAAAAAUAAUAAAUUUCACCUAGUAGUUUAUCGGUAUGGAAAAGACCAUAUUUGGUAAGGAUUAUAUUAAUUAUAAUAAAGGGUUAAUUGCAACAAGUUGCUCAAAACCACAUACCGAAAAUGCUAGAAAUGGCAGCCAGAUAGGUCACCAUUUCCCUACUAGUAAAAAGGUCUCCACAAACAAUCAGGAUUUGCAACCUGUAUAUGGCAAAAAAGGAAGAAGAUAACGAAAUCACAGCCCUUUUGGAAAUGAAUCUCUGGUUCUCAUCCAGAAACGAAUUUUCGUCUGUAAUUAAUCCAAAAGGGCUGUGAUUUAGUUAUUUUCUUCCUUUUUGCCAUAUACGGGUUGCAAAUCCUGAUUGUUUGUGGAGACCUUUUUACUAGUAGGGAAAUGGUGACCUAUCUGGCUGCCAUUUCUAGCAUUUUCGGUAUGUGGUUUUGAGCAACUUGUUGCAAUUAACCCUUUAUUAUAAUUAAUAUAUAAUGUGUGUGUGUGUGUGUGUUUGCCCCCCCCCAGCAUUGCUUGACAACCGAUGCUGGUGUGUUUAUGUCCCCGUUACUUAGCGGUUCAGCAAAACAGACCGAUAGAAUAAGUACUAGGCUUCCAAAGAAUAAGUGCCGGGGUCGAUUUGCUCGAUUAAAGGCGAUGCUCCAGCAUGGCUGCAGUCAAAUGACUGAAACAGGUAAAAAAAGUUUUAAAAAAAACUUUUUAAAGUAUACCUGUAUCAUCAUCAUUUAACGCCUGCUUUCCAUGCUAACAUAGGUUGGAGUGUAUAUAUAUGUAUAUUUGUGUAUAUAUAUAUAUAUAUAUAUAUAUAUAUAUAUAUAUGUAUCUGUAUGUAUAUCUAUCUAUCUAUAUAUAUAUAUAUAUAUAUAUAUAUAUAUAUAUAUAUAUAUAAAUAUAUAUAUAUAUAUAUAUAUAGUUGAUCCAAACAAGAAAGCACAAAAAAACACAACGCGAGGACGUGGAACAAAUAUAGUAUUAUUGGUUGCUAUAUAUAUAUGUAUAUAUCUGUAUAUACGUACAUGUGUGUAUAUAUGUACAUUGUAUAUAUAUGUAUGUUAGUGUAUGUGUACAUAUAUGUGCGUACAUCUGUGUAUAUAUGUAUGUAUCUGUAUAUAUCUGUGUGUAUGUAUGUAUCUGUAUAUAUAUAUAUACGUAUCUACGCAUGUACGUAUUUGUACAUAUAUGUACGUAUCUGUGUAUGCAUUUACGUAUGUAUGUAUGUAUCUGUAUAAAUGUGCGUAUUUGUGUGUGUGUGCACGUACCUGCAUGCAUAUACGUGUGUGUAUAUAUAUGUACUAUUUGUGUCUAUACAUGUGAUAUACAUAUAGCUAUACAUGCACACACACAUAUAUGCACAUUUGUGUGUGUGUGUAUAUAUAUAUAUAUGUGUACACGUCUUUUUAUACACAUGUAUAUAUAGCUAUAUAUAUACACACGCACGCACAAAUGUUGACCCAUUUGGUGUGCGCUGUUGGUUCACCUGGUUUUGUGGAGCGAAGGACGUCUCGUUUCCUCUUUCGAAGGCAUCUGCCUCCGCCUUCAGCUGAUUUAUAAUUAAUUUUGUAGGAGGGACUAGAAUAUUGUAGUACAUGGAGCGGAUGGUACAUUUGAUACAAUAUUAUGGGGGCCACUUGUAUGUAUGUAUAUGGGUAUGUGUGUGUGUGUGUAUAUGGGUAUGUGUAUAUAUGCAUGUGUAUAUGUGUGUGUGUGUAUAUAUAUAUGUAUAUAUGAAUGUGCAUAUGUGUAUGUAUAUAUGUGUGUGUGUGUGUGUAUAUGUAUAUAUGAAUGUGCAUGUGUGUAUGUAUAUAUGAAUGUGUGCAUAUGUGUAUGUAUAUAUGAAUGUGUUUAUGUAUAUAUAGAUGUAUAUACGGAUAUAUGUGUGAAUUUGUAUGUCUGCAUGUAUGUGUGUAUGGUUGGAAUUUACAAUAAAAAAAAAGACAAAAGCAGGUGUGUAAACGAGAAACAGGUGAAUUCGUUUAACAUUUGGGUAGGUGAGAAAGUCUUUUACAUUUUGAGCCUAUGCUAUUCAACAGAAAGGAACAUGAGUAAAUAAACCCAAUAAAAAAAGGUUUAGUGGCUAGUGGGGAAUCCUGCAUAUAUAUGUAACCAGCCCCCUUACGUGUACCUUUCCUUUGUUGGACACUAAAGUCUGCUUGCAAAGACCUGUUGGGGCAAGUGAAAUCGAAAUCAAAUUCGAUGACUGGCAUCCGUGCUAGUGGAUUGCUAAGAGCACCAUCUCUGAGUGUGAUCGUUGCCAGAGCAGCUGACUGGCUUCCGUUCCAGUGGCAUGUGAAAAACAUUCAAGCGAGGACGUUACCAGUGCUGCAGGACUGGCUCCUGUGCAGGUGGCACGUAAGAAACACCAUUUGAGCAAGGUCAUUGCCAGUGCCGCUAGAGUGGCUCCUGUGCAGCUGGCAUAUAAAAAGCACCAUUUGAGUGUGGCCGUUGCCAAUACCUCCUGAAUGGCACUUGUGCUGGUAGCGUGUAAAAGCAUCCACUGCACUCUCAGAAUUGUUGGCGUCAGGAAGGGCAUCCAGCUGUAGAAUCUCUGCCAGAUUGGAUUGAAGCCUGGGGCAGCCAUCUGGUUCGCCAGUUCUUAGUCAAAUCAUCAAACCCAUGCCAGCAUGGAAAGUGGACAUUAAACGAGCCAUGAUGACGUGUAUAUGCAUAUAUAUAUGCAUGUGUAUAUGUAUGUAAGUACAAGGGUCGGACAAACUAGUUGAAACACCCAGCAUAAUGGUAUCAUAAUUUUGAAAUAUCGAUAAAACUGUCAAAAGCUUGUUUACUUUUAUGUCUUGAUUUAUUAUUAGUAGUGUUUAUACGUAUAGAUAUGUAUACCUAUAGGCACGUAUAAGCAUGCAUAUAGGUACUUGUGCGUGUGUAUAUGUAUAGACUUGUGUAUAUAUAUAUAUAUACACAUGGGCGAGAGUCUUUUUCUAUAGCCUUAGGUUGACAAAAGCCUUGUGAGUCGAUUUGGUAGGUGGAAAAAGAGAGAAGCCCGUUGUAUAUAUGUGUGUGUGUGUUUGUCCCCACACCAUCACUUGACAACUGAUGUUGGUGUGUUUACUUCCCAUAACUUAGCGGUUCAACUUAAGAGACCAAUGCAAUAGGU
rnacentral:lncRNA from 1 species